GGACCGUUAGUCAAGUGGUUAAGACACCUUCCUUUCACGAAGGUAACAUGGGUUCAAUUCCCGUACGGUUCACCA
rnacentral:tRNA from 1 species